UACGUAGGGUGCAAGCGUUUGUCCGGAUUUAUUGGGCGUAAAGAGCUCGUAGGCGGUUUGAUAAGUCGGGUGUGAAAUCUCCAGGCUCAACCUGGAGCUGCCACUCGAUACUGUCAUGACUUGAAUUCGGUAGGGGACCACGGAAUUCCUGGUCGUAGGCGGUGAAAUGCGCAGAUAAUCAGGAGGAACACCAGCAGCGAAGGCGGUGGUCGUGGGCCGACAUGACGCUGAGGAGCGAAAGCGUGGGGAGCGAACAGG
rnacentral:rRNA from 1 species